rnacentral:rRNA from 1 species
CCAUACCAAACAACCCUUUUUAAAGAAUAAGAUCAUUAAUGAUUGGUGGCUGUUGCUGACUAGUGUUUCUAGUAUGUGCACGCCACACCUUCAAUCCCACUUACACCUGUGCACCUUCUGUAAUAGAUCUAUGUGGAUACGGAGAUGUGAAAGUUUGCGCUCUCCUACUCUGUUGAAGCACAGCUCUACUACGUUUUUUUUACACACACACACCAAAAGUCAUUGAAUGUAUUUUUUUUAUUCUUAUGAUAAAAACAACUUUCAACAACGGAUCCCUUGGCUCUCGCAUCCAUGAAGAACGUAACGAAUUACGACAUGUAAUGUGAAUUGGAGAAUUCAGUGAAUCAUCGAAUCUUUGAACGCCCCUUGCGCUCUUUGGUAUUCCGAAGAGCAUGCCUGUUUGAGUGUCAUGAAUCUCUCAAAAUGGCAAUGAUUUUUAUUAAUUGUUGGGUUUGGACUUGGAAAGCUGGCCGGCGCGAGUCGACUCCUCUUAAAUGCAUUAACUGGGGGUUAUAUUAGUUGGAUCCUUGGUGUGAUAAUUAUCUACGCCUUGAAGUCCCUGUAGGACUCUGCUUCAAAUCGUCUCCUAGAGACAACAUUUGAAUCAUCUGACCUCAAAUCAGGUAGGACUACCCGCUGAACUUAAGCAUAUCAUAGCGGGAGGA